UGCACAUGGAGGGGAAGGGGCUAGGGUUUCAAAUUUUCCUUCUUUGAUUUCUUCAUCAUCCAUCCACCAAAUCCAAUGACCCACCACAUGAAAUUGAUUGGAAACCACUCAAUGAAUCCAUUCCACCUAUCCAUUUGAGCUAUAGUUGAGUGUGUGAAGAGUUAUUCCUCCUCUCAUUUUCGAGUUACUAUUCAUUGGAGGAGAAAAAGUGAGUUUUUGGAUGGAGCUUGGCUUGGAGAUUGCUCUCUAGGCUUUGUACAAGUGUUUAGAGGUGUGCCUAGGGAUUGAGAAGGAUCGGAAAUCUCUUGAAGCGAUAAAAGUAACUUGUUCCACAAGUAAGCGUAUUGGUAAAGCUUCAAGAGGUGCCCAGAUUUCCGGUGAGUCCUCACUAGGCAGGGACACGACACGUGGCUGAGGCAGUUGACAGACCGGAUUUUGAGUGGCUGUAGGCUGCUACCUUUUUGGAGUGUUUGAUGUAUUUUAGUAUUUUCGCAUUUGAUGGAUCAUGAUAUUGAUCCUUUAUUUUGUAUAUGGCCUGUAUAUGUUUUGUACAUGUCUGUCAGUUUGAUGCAUGUACAUUUGAGUAUUCAGGAACGUUAUAU